AUUGAACGCUGGCGGAAUGCUUUACACAUGCAAGUCGAGCGGCAGCGCGGGGCAACCUGGCGGCGAGCGGCGAACGGGUGAGUAAUGUAUCGGAACGUAUCCUUAAGUGGGGGACAACUAGUCGAAAGACUAGCUAAUACCGCAUACGAUCGAGAGAUGAAAGUGGGGGACCGCAAGGCCUCACGCUUUUGGAGCGGCCGAUAUCCGAUUAGCUUGUUGGUGAGGUAAAGGCUUACCAAGGCUAUGAUCGGUAGCUGGUCUGAGAGGAUGAUCAGCCACACUGGGACUGAGACACGGCCCAGACUCCUACGGGAGGCAGCAGUGGGGAAUUUUGGACAAUGGGGGCAACCCUGAUCCAGCCAUUCCGCGUGAGUGAAGAAGGCCU
rnacentral:rRNA from 1 species